rnacentral:rRNA from 1 species
UACGAAGGGGGCUAGCGUUGUUCGGAAUUACUGGGCGUAAAGCGCGCGCAGGCGGCUAUCCAAGUCAGUGGUGUAAGCCCGGAGCUCAACUCCGGAACUGGCAUUGAAACUGUUUAGCUUGAGGACGAGAGAGGUGAGUGGAAUUCCCAGUGUAGAGGUGAAAUUCGUAGAUAUUGGGAAGAACACCAGUGGCGAAGGCGGCUCACUGGCCCGGUACUGACGCUGAGAUACGAAAGCGUGGGGAGCAAACAGG